rnacentral:rRNA from 1 species
AUGCGGUCGGUGCUGUGGACGAACCUGCUGGUGCCGCCGAUCAGCGUGCUGCUGGGCAACCUCGCCGGUGUGGUGGUGGCAGUGUCGUACGGGAUGGGCCACGGGUACGAGUCGUGGGGCCCGCUGGACUGGAAGCUGGUGUUCGCCGCGUGGGUGGUGGCGCAUUUGCAGGGGUUCCUCAGGGGGCUCCUCUCGCGACGGGAACGGGCGCCGACCCUCGCCGUGCUCUGGUCGGUGCUCUUCGUCUCCAUUCUGUCGCUGAUGUGGGUGAACACGCAGACGUACUAUGGGCCGUCGGUGCCAUCGACCACGCAGCAGCCCAUCUUUUGA